ACGCUCGACACCUACUGGAGGCAGCAGUGGGGAAUAUUGCACAAUGGGGGAAACCCUGAUGCAGCGACGCCGCGUGAGCGAAGAAGUAUUUCGGUAUGUAAAGCUCUAUCAGCAGGGAAGAAACUGACGGUACCUGACUAAGAAGCACCGGCUAAAUACGUGCCUGCAGCCGCGGUAAUCUGAGCGGGCUGGCAAGGC
rnacentral:rRNA from 1 species